AUUGAACGCUGGCGGCAGGCUUAACACAUGCAAGUCGAGCGGUAGCACAGGGGAGCUUGCUCCCUGGGUGACGAGCGGCGGACGGGUGAGUAAUGUCUGGGAAACUGCCUGAUGGAGGGGGAUAACUACUGGAAACGGUAGCUAAUACCGCAUAACGUCGCAAGACCAAAGAGGGGGACCUUCGGGCCUCUUGCCAUCAGAUGUGCCCAGAUGGGAUUAGCUAGUAGGUGGGGUAAUGGCUCACCUAGGCGACGAUCCCUAGCUGGUCUGAGAGGAUGUCCAGCCACACUGGAACUGAGACACGGUCCAGACUCCUACGGGAGGCAGCAGUGGGGAAUAUUGCACAAUGGGCGCAAGCCUGAUGCAGCCAUGCCGCGUGUGUGAAGAAGGCCUUCGGGUUGUAAAGCACUUUCAGCGAGGAGGAAGGUGGUGAGCUUAAUACGUUCAUCAAUUGACGUUACUCGCAGAAGAAGCACCGGCUAACUCCGUG
rnacentral:rRNA from 1 species